GACGAACGCUGGCGGCGUGCCUAAUACAUGCAAGUAGAACGCUGAAGGAGGAGCUUGCUUCUCCGGAUGAGUUGCGAACGGGUGAGUAACGCGUAGGUAACCUGCCUGGUAGCGGGGGAUAACUAUUGGAAACGAUAGCUAAUACCGCAUAACAGUAGAUAUCGCAUGAUAUCUGCUUGAAAGGUGCAAUUGCAUCACUACCAGAUGGACCUGCGUUGUAUUAGGUAGUUGGUGAGGUAACGGCUCACCAAGGCGACGAUACAUAGCCGACCUGAGAGGGGGGUCGGCCAACCUGGGACUGGGACACGGCCCCGACUCCUACGGGAGGCAGCAGUAGGGAAUCUUCGGCAAUGGGCGGAAGUCUGACCGAGCAACGCCGCGUGAGUGAAGAAGGUUUUCGGAUCGGAAAGCUCUGUUGUAAGAGAAGAACGAGUGUGAGAGUGGAAAGUUCACACUGUGACGGUAUCUUAACAGAAAGGGACGGCUAACUACGUG
rnacentral:rRNA from 1 species